GACGAACGCUGGCGGCGUGCUUAACACAUGCAAGUCGAACGGAAAGGCCCUGCUUUUGUGGGGUGCUCGAGUGGCGAACGGGUGAGUAACACGUGAGCAACCUGCCCUUGACUUUGGGAUAACUUCAGGAAACUGGGGCUAAUACCGGAUAGGAGCUCCUGCUGCAUGGUGGGGGUUGGAAAGUUUCGGCGGUUGGGGAUGGACUCGCGGCUUAUCAGCUUGUUGGUGGGGUAGUGGCUUACCAAGGCUUUGACGGGUAGCCGGCCUGAGAGGGUGACCGGCCACAUUGGGACUGAGAUACGGCCCAGACUCCUACGGGAGGCAGCAGUGGGGAAUAUUGCACAAUGGGCGGAAGCCUGAUGCAGCAACGCCGCGUGCGGGAUGACGGCCUUCGGGUUGUAAACCGCUUUCGCCUGUGACGAAGCGUGAGUGACGGUAAUGGGUAAAGAAGCACCGGCUAACUACGUGCCAGCAGCCGCGGUGAUACGUAGGGUGCGAGCGUUGUCCGGAUUUAUUGGGCGUAAAGGGCUCGUAGGUGGUUGAUCGCGUCGGAAGUGUAAUCUUGGGGCUUAACCCUGAGCGUGCUUUCGAUACGGGUUGACUUGAGGAGGGUAGGGGAGAAUGGAAUUCCUGGUGGAGCGGUGGAAUGCGCAGAUAUCAGGAGGAACACCAGUGGCGAAGGCGGUUCUCUGGGCCUUUCCUGACGCUGAGGAGCGAAAGCGUGGGGAGCGAACAGGCUUAGAUACCCUGGUAGUCCACGCUGUAAACGGUGGGUACUAGGUGUGGGGUCCAUUCCACGGAUUCCGUGCCGUAGCUAACGCUUUAAGUACCCCGCCUGGGGAGUACGGCCGCAAGGCUAAAACUCAAAGGAAUUGACGGGGCCCCGCACAAGCGGCGGAGCAUGCGGAUUAAUUCGAUGCAACGCGUAGAACCUUACCUGGGUUUGACAUAGAUCGGGAGUGCUCAGAGAUGGGUGUGCCUCUUUUGGGGUCGGUUCACAGGUGGUGCAUGGCUGUCGUCAGCUCGUGUCGUGAGAUGUUGGGUUAAGUCCCGCAACGAGCGCAACCCUUGUUCAUUGUUGCCAGCACGUUAUGGUGGGGACUCAGUGGAGACCGCCGGGGUCAACUCGGAGGAAGGUGGGGAUGACGCCAAGUCAUCAUGCCCCUUAUGUCCAGGGCUUCACGCAUGCUACAAUGGCUGGUACAGAGAGUGGCGAGCCUGUGAGGGUGAGCGAAUCUCGGAAAGCCGGUCUCAGUUCGGAUUGGGGUCUGCAACUCGACCUCAUGAAGUCGGAGUCGCUAGUAAUCGCAGAUCAGCAACGCUGCGGUGAAUACGCUCCCGGGGCU
rnacentral:rRNA from 1 species